UGGGGAAUAUUGGACAAUGGGCGCAAGCCUGAUCCAGCCAUGCCGCGUGAGUGAUGAAGGCCCUAGGGUUGUAAAGCUCUUUCACCGGUGAAGAUAAUGACGGUAACCGGAGAAGAAGCCCCGGCUAACUUCGUGCCAGCAGCCGCGGUAAUACGAAGGGGGCUAGCGUUGUUCGGAUUUACUGGGCGUAAAGCGCACGUAGGCGGACUUUUAAGUCAGGGGUGAAAUCCCGGGGCUCAACCCCGGAACUGCCUUUGAUACUGGAAGUCUUGAGUAUGGUAGAGGUGAGUGGAAUUCCGAGUGUAGAGGUGAAAUUCGUAGAUAUGCGGAGGAACACCAGUGGCGAAGGCGGCUCACUGGACCAUUACUGACGCUGAGGUGCGAAAGCGUGGGGGGCAAACAGG
rnacentral:rRNA from 1 species